rfam:Rattus norvegicus chromosome 13, whole genome shotgun sequence.
GGGGAUUUAGCUCAGUGGUAGAGCGCUUGCCUAGCAAGCACAAGGCAGCGCAAGGCCCUGGGUUCGGUCCCCAGCUCCA